rnacentral:rRNA from 1 species
AUUGAACGCUGGCGGCAGGCCUAACACAUGCAAGUCGAACGAGUGGCGGACGGGUGAGUAAUGUCUGGGAAACUGCCUGAUGGAGGGGGAUAACUACUGGAAACGGUAGCUAAUACCGCAUACCAUCGGAUGUGCCCAUAUGGGAUUAGCUAGUAGGUGGGGUAACGGCUCACCUAGGCGACGAGCCCUAGCUGGUCUUAGAGGAUGAACAGCCAAACUGGAACUGAGACACGGUGCAGACGCCUACGGAAGGAAGCAGUGGGGAAUAUUGCACAAUGGGCGCAAGCCUGAUGCAGCCAUGCCGCGUGUAUGAAGAAGGCCUGCGGGUUGUAAAGUACUUUCAGCGGGGAGGCGUUACCCGCAGAAGAAGCACCGGCUAACUCCGUGCCAGCAGCCGCGGUAAUUC